UAAAAUGUUGAAUAUCUCAUAUGCUUUAUUAAAUAUUGCAGUAAAGUGAAAAACACAAUGAUUUUAUGAGUAUUUGACCUACAGUUUCUACUGAAAAUGCAUUGCUUUCACACCAUUGUAAAGAUGAAAAAUCAUAAGUUGAACCAUUGUAAGUUGGGGACCGUCUGUACAAGAUUACACAUGAAACCCUUUACAUUAAUAUACAACUAUCAAAAUAUUUAAACAAACCAAAAGUGUCCCAUAGUAAUAUAUGUGCUUCUUUGCAUUAAAUAACAAAAUCUGUGACAGGCUUAAAGAGAAACAUAAUUUCUACAUAGAAGUAAUGUAGAGGUUUACAUAUUUGUGUCUGAUCUGAACUGUAAGAUAUAUAAAAAUAGCUGUGACUCUUAGUUCCUGUGGGAAGGUAAGAGCCUAACUCCGGUGGGCAAGUGGGCAGCUUGCUCCAAUGUGCAAUAAUUGCCUUUCUAAUUUCUUGGACAUUAGAUGCCACGUGGAUGAAAGAGGCAAACACCAUAUCCACAUCCAAUCCUACCCCACACUUCAGAUCCUGGAUGUCCUUUUCUGACAUGGCAAGCACGUCCACAGCCACCAGGAAGGUCUACACCCUUUUUGCUGCCCAAGGAGCCACCAUUUUCCACUGCUAUCACCAGGAGGUCAGUACCUUUCUGCUCUGCCUGCAGAGAAAUAAGUUAUUACAUCUGUAGAUCUUGCUGCCCACUUCCACUACCUUACAAAUGUUCUUGUAGUCCAGCCACAGGAAGUUCUAAUCAUAGUUUUCCAUGUAGGCAUUAUCCAGUGUGAUCUGAAGGUGGCUCCCUUCUUCAGCUCCACCUCCAUGGGGACACUGCUCUGUGUGAGCCCAGUUCGUAUCUCAGGCCCAUUAGUGUCCAGAGCCACAGCAACUAGCCGCUAGAGAUUGGGGUUCGAAGCAAAGCUUUCCAGAGUUGUGCACACGUUCUUGAUAGUCUCUGCGUGGUACUCAAAAGUUCAGACAAGCCAUAUUAAUUCCAGACUUAAUCAUCAGCAUUUCCACCAAUCAGGAAGCUGGGCUGAUAGUACAGAUGAUGCCAGCAUUCUGGGCUGUGGGGGUGGCCAGUCAGUGUUCAGACAGCACACAUGCUACAGCAGUGUGUCAACUACGACCGUGGGCAGCUGCUGAGUCUGAAAUGAAGGCCCUCCUGGCUUCACUCUGGGGCUUCCACUUGGCUUCUGAGGUCUUCCAGCAUUUUCUCGCUCAGACUACUUGUAAAUGCAGAGAGGUCAGGAGCCUAGGGAUAUUCACUCCUGUCCAUUAUAUAUGUUUUAUUCCAGAAUGUCUAUUUGAUUGUUUUCAUAUCAUACGAAUUAUUUUUGAUGGUCUUUUAUUUCUGUAUCAUAUACCAAUGUCUCCCUUUAUUUCUUUACACAUUUUAACAUACUCAUUUCAUAAUUUUUAUUUAAAAUUUCUGUAUCUGAAGUCCUUGUG
ensembl:lncRNA